GACGAACGCUGGCGGCGUGCUUAACACAUGCAAGUCGAACGGAAAGGCCCUGCUUGCAGGGUAUUCGAGUGGCGCACGGGUGAGUAACACGCGGGUGAUCUGCCCUGCACUUCGGGAUAAGCCUGGGAAACUGGGUCUAAUACCGGAUAGGAGCCAUUUUUAGUGUGAUGGUUGGAAAGUUUUUUCGGUGUAGGGUGAGCUCGCGGGCUAUCAGCUUGUUGGUGGGGUAAUGGCCUACCAAGGCGGCGAAGGGUAGCCGGCCAGGGGGGGUGGACGGCCACAUUGGGACUGGGAUACGGCCCCGACUCCCACCGGAGGCAAGAGGGGGGAAAUAUGCCAAAUGGGCGCAAGGCUGAUGCAGCGACGCCGCGGGGGGGAUGACGGCCUUCGGGUUGUAAACUCGUUUCGCUAGGGACGAAGCUUUUUGUGACGGUACCUAGAGAAGAAGCACCGGCUAACUACGUG
rnacentral:rRNA from 1 species